rnacentral:rRNA from 1 species
GUGGGGAAUAUUGGACAAUGGGCGAAAGCCUGAUCCAGCCAUGCCGCGUGUGUGAAGAAGGUCUUCGGAUUGUAAAGCACUUUAAGUUGGGAGGAAGGGCAGUAAGUUAAUACCUUGCUGUUUUGACGUUACCGACAGAAUAAGCACCGGCUAACUUCGUGCCAGCAGCCGCGGUAAUACGAAGGGUGCAAGCGUUAAUCGGAAUUACUGGGCGUAAAGCGCGCGUAGGUGGUUUUGUAAGUUGGAGGUGAAAUCCCCGGGCUCAACCUGGGAACUGCUUUCAAAACUGCUGAGCUAGAGUACGGUAGAGGGUGGUGGAAUUUCCUGUGUAGCGGUGAAAUGCGUAGAUAUAGGAAGGAACACCAGUGGCGAAGGCGACCACCUGGACUGAUACUGACACUGAGGUGCGAAAGCGUGGGGAGCAAACAGGAUUAGAUACCCGAGUAGUCC